CUGGAAAGGAAAUAGAGAUGCUAUUGUUCUAAUAGUUCAUUAUGCGAAUAGAAAAACUGAGACACAAAGAAAAAGUAACUUAGCUAAAGCUUUCAGUUAGUACAAAGUCAAAACUAAAACUAAGCUCCCUGAGUUCUUCACAGUGCUAUUUCUAUCACAUUGUGAAACUGAAGCGUCAUCUUCUCUUCCUGAGAAGACCAGUUUGCUAAUGCAAAGAGGGGACAAGACUUUCACAGCCCAAGGAGACUCUACCCAAACGUAAUGACUACACACGUCUGGAGCAGUGCCAGGAGCCAGCCCCAAACAAGAGCUCAUGUGACCAGUCUUCCUAAGUAGAGCUGAGCCUGCUGAUCCAGGGAGAGGUGGGCGGAACAGCUGGAUAUCUGCCUGGCUGAUUACUACGAAGCCCUGCCGUGCUGAACGUUCCCCAUCCCCAAGGAGAAGAGGAGGCCUAAGAGCAGGCAGCUCUGAAGGAAAGAGCAUUUAAGGACCUCAGCGUGAUGUGAUGUGUGGCAUGAUUUCCUUUCCCCAUCCAACCAGUUAGAUAAAUCACACCUUAUCCCAGGAGGAUGAGGAAGAAGGCACCGAAGGAGUGCAAAAGGAGUUUGCCCACUGUUUUGUCAAGAGAGUUGACGGCAUGGAGUUCAGAAAGCAGAUGCACCUUACAGGCUUCCAAAGGUGAUGAAACAACUGGAUUCAACUACUGUGUAAUCAACUGUGGUCAGACAAUUUUCUGCAUCUGCAAUAAGUCCUAUGAUGACUAUUCUAUGCAAAUCGACAGCUAUCAAAUUUCCCACCCAAAGUGUCUGUCCAGCUUUAUCCAAGCCACUUCUAGUCUCAGGCAAGCAUCUCGGAGCCUCCUUUAUCUUCCUGCUAUGACCCACUUGGUCCUUGACCCCUCAGGGCCCUGGUUUUUCUUUUAGAUCAGGCUUUAUUCCUACCCUAGGGAAGAUGAUCGGGCAAAGACAAUCUCAGUUUAUAGCUCUAUUUCAUUUCCAGCAGAUAUUAUGAUAGUUCUGCUCUGUCUCUAUUGAAUAAUCCUGAGUGAUGGUUUUGGAUUUUAAAAGGUUUUAAAGCUUUCCCAAUCGGUUAUAAGUUGUCAAACUCGAAAAAAAAUAUUGAGCUGAACAUAAAACAGAUGAAUGCUCUUAAAACAGAAGAAAAAGCAAUUACAUAACAUUACGUUUUGUAGAAAAUGAGGGAAGACUCUGUAAUGGAGAGUGGAAAAAAUACCUGUGCUUGCAUCGGGUAGAUACAAGUUCAAAUCCUAACUGUGCUUCUUAUUAGUAAUUUGACUUUGGACACUUCCUGGAGCCUCAGUCUCUUGCAUGCACAAUAAAUGUCAUAGAGCCAUUGCA
rnacentral:lncRNA from 1 species